CACCAAGAAGUUUAGUCAUACAAGAAUGGUUAAAAGACAGUUAAGUGUUAUAAAAACGUUGAGUUGUAUAAUAUAAUGCAUAGAGGUAAAAUUUAAGUGCAAUUAUAUAAGUCAGGGAUAACUCGUAAGCUGAAUCUGUGAAACCCUUGAGGGAAACUGGGAUUAGGUACCCCAUUAUUCUUGGAUGUAAAUAAAAAAUUUUUUACCAGAGUACUAUGAAUGUUGUAAAUUUAAAACUCAAAGAACUUGGCGGUGUUUUAGACCACUCAGGGGAACCUGUCUCGUAAUCGACAAUCCACGUUGUACCUGACCUUUUUUUGUUUUCAGUUUGUAUACCGUUGUCGUCAGGUAACUUUUUAGAAUACAGAAGUUGGCUGGAAAAAUAGAUAAUUUAGUACGUCAAAUCAAGGUGCAGCUUAUAGAAAGGGGAGGAUGGGUUACAAUUAUUAAUUUAUAAUUACGAAUGAUUAUGUUAAAGUGUAAUGUUAGAAGGAGGACUUGAAAGUAAAUUGGAUUUAUAAAAAUAAAUUUGAAUAAGGCUCUGAAACGUGU
rnacentral:rRNA from 1 species